AACGAACGCUGGCGGCAUGCCUAACACAUGCAAGUCGAACGAGACCUUCGGGUCUAGUGGCGCACGGGUGCGUAACGCGUGGGAACCUGCCCUUAGGUUCGGAAUAACUCCCCGAAAGGGGUGCUAAUACCGGAUAAUGUCUUCGGACCAAAGAUUUAUCGCCUUUGGAUGGGCCCGCGUUGGAUUAGCUAGUUGGUAGGGUAAAGGCCUACCAAGGCGACGAUCCAUAGCUGGUCUGAGAGGAUGAUCAGCCACACUGGGACUGAGACACGGCCCAGACUCCUACGGGAGGCAGCAGUGGGGAAUAUUGGACAAUGGGCGAAAGCCUGAUCCAGCAAUGCCGCGUGAGUGAUGAAGGCCUUAGGGUUGUAAAGCUCUUUUACCCGGGAUGAUAAUGACGGUACCGGGAGAAUAAGCUCCGGCUAACUCCGUG
rnacentral:rRNA from 1 species